rnacentral:rRNA from 1 species
GACGAACGCUGGCGGCGUGCCUAAUACAUGCAAGUAGAACGCUGAAGGAGGAGCUUGCUCUUCUGGAUGAGUUGCGAACGGGUGAGUAACGCGUAGGUAACCUGCCUGGUAGCGGGGGAUAACUAUUGGAAACGAUAGCUAAUACCGCAUAAGAGUAGAUGUCGCAUGACAUUUGCUUAAAAGGUGCAAUUGCAUCACUACCAGAUGGACCUGCGUUGUAUUAGCUAGUUGGUGAGGUAACGGCUCACCAAGGCAACGAUACAUAGCCGACCUGAGAGGGUGAUCGGCCACACUGGGACUGAGACACGGCCCAGACUCCUACGGGAGGCAGCAGUAGGGAAUCUUCGGCAAUGGACGGAAGUCUGACCGAGCAACGCCGCGUGAGUGAAGAAGGUUUUCGGAUCGUAAAGCUCUGUUGUAAGAGAAGAACGAGUGUGAGAGUGGAAAGUUCACACUGAGACG